CUUAGGAGGCGGGGCCACCAUGAAGUCACUGUGGCUGAGCCCGCCCCCUGUCUGCCUUCUCUGCCAGAGAAGAGGCCUGAGCAGCAUGGCAUUGAAGUCGUGGGGAGUUUGUCAGGCUCUCGACAUCCAGAUCCAGAAACUCCUGUCCAGACGGAGGCACCUGAGGGAUUUGAUGGCUCGUCUGCUGGCAAAAUCCUCCCCAACAUCAGCAAAUUGCGGUUCGGUAACAUCGACUCCACGCUGUGCCGCUCGCUCACUUUCAAGGCCAAGUGAGGUUCACACCUGCGCCUCGUUGUCAGAGCGACAACGCCAACAAUGAAGAAUUCAACCUGCUUCAGCUAUGCAGGCGGGGGCUUAAGGCUAGAACACCUCCAUCGGCACAGGCAAGCAUCUCCACCCAGAACCGGUUCGACCCUCUCCGCGUCCCCAGUUUGCCUUCAACCCCGGGUGAUGUAUUUGUGAUUGGUGAUUCAAUCGUACGAAACCUAAACAUCGCAUGCCCUAAUCAGAAAACGUUUGUCUCUUGCUUUCCCGGUGCUCGUGUCCGAGAUGUUACGAGACGUGUGCCUACAGUCUUCAAGAGGCACAAGAACAGGAAAGUGGGAUCCAUUGUGAUACACUCUGGGGUUAAUGAUGUGAGACACCAACAGUCGGAGAUUCUCAAGGCGGACUUCGCACCACUAAUUAAAGCCACAAAGGAGAGGACCCCGGCUGCAAGAAUUUCCAUCUCGGGUCCCUUACCUCUCGUUAGAAGAUCGAACAAGUAUUACAGUCGUCUGCUGGUGUUAAACAUCUGGCUGAAAGGCUUCUGCGAGAGUCGAAACCUCGGGUUCGUGGACAAUUGGGACCUCUUCUGGGAGAGGCCGUGCUUCUUCAAGUGAGAAGGUCUGCAUCAAAACAGAUUUGGCACCCGGGUCCUCUCCAAAAACAUCGCUGAGGAUACAAAAGUAGCCAGCUGGCUAAUUAUGAACUUGUCACCUCUUCCUGACUUCCCCUGAGGACCUGAACAGGAGUGAAUGGCUCUCUGGAGCACAGAUUUCACUCAGGAUCUCAGCGCAACACAGAAUGACAGCCUUGCAUCAUCUUUCCUCUGAGAAUCCAGAGCUCCCAUCUCACUCGGCACUUGUUACAGGGCUUGUAUUUAAAACAAAGGACAAGAAAUCUCAGCGGCAGAUCUGCAGAAGGAGUGAGCAUCACAAUCUAACAGGAUCAGGAAUCGUUGGAAUUACUGAGACUCUCUUUUAGAUCUGCCUGUUCAUAAUCUACUGCUCUAUGUGGAGGUUUCCUGCAUUAAGUGCUGUUAUUCCUUGAUAGUGAUACAUUUUGUAGCAAUAUUAAUAAUAACAAUACUAAUGAUCAUCUAAUUAUAAACACAGAAACACAAACGUCUUUGUAAUUGAUUGUGUUAAUUGUCAUACUUCACCAGGUAUAGGUAACAGAAAAUAAAUUAAGCUUUCAAAAGACAUAAAAUGUGUCAUAGUUGUAACCUCCACAAGUGGAGAGGGAAAACGUCAAAAACCCCUUGACAAAACAACCCCCUAAAACAAUUAGUACGCUAGAAGACUAGCCAAAAAAACAAAAGAUCUAACGCAGUGCAACUACAACCAAAACAAGAGCUAAAAAAUCAAAAUCAA